rnacentral:rRNA from 1 species
ACGGAAGGCAGCAGUGGGGGAUAUUGCACAAUGGAGGAAACCCUGAUGCAGCAACGCCGCGUGAGGGAAGAAGGUUUUCGGAUUGUAAACCUCUGUUUUUAGUGAAGAAACAAAUGACGGUAGCUAAAGAGGAAGCCACGGCUAACUACGUGCCAGCAGCCGCGGUAAUACGUAGGUGGCAAGCGUUGUCCGGAUUUACUGGGUGUAAAGGGUGCGCAGGCGGGACUGCAAGUUGGAUGUGAAAUACCGAGGCUCAACCUCGGAGCUGCAUCCAAAACUGUAGUUCUUGAGUGAAGUAGAGGCAAGCGGAAUUCCGAGUGUAGCGGAGAAAUGCGUAGAUAUUCGGAGGAACACCAGUGGCGAAGGCGGCUUGCUGGGCUUUAACUGACGCUGAGGCACGAAAGCAUGGGUAGCAAACAGGAUUAGAUACCCUGGUA